rnacentral:lncRNA from 1 species
CCCCGCUUUCACUAACGUUCUCAAAGUGAGAAAAUUCUCAGCUCAAGAUUUUCUCAGAACUGUCUGAGAAUUGUCUCAGCUGAGAAAUUUCUCAAGUUGGCUUUCACUAAACUUUUUCUCAAGUCUUGAGAUUUUUCUCAGCUGAGCCGUAAUUUUUCAAUACAUAAGCGGCCAAACAUCCAAGGAGCCGCGUGAACUUUCCCACGAACACGAGUGCAUAGUUGGGGGCAGUGGAAUUAUUCAUUUAUUGAGACGAAAUGAAGCGUUGAGAAAUGUUCAUAAACAACAUGUACAGUUUCGGGAUAUAUCCAAAUUGUAUGUUUGUACAAAGGUAUGGCAGUGUAUUUUCAAUAUUAUAAUUAAUCAGCUUCAAACCUGUCACUUUUGAACCAAUCAAACACACAGUCGAGGGUACUACGUCAUAUUGCAUGUGUUUUCUUUACCAAAUAUGGGAUUAGGUAAACACAGCCAUAUGUUGUUACACUACGUGUGACAAUUUUAUGUUAUCUGGCAUAUAUGUUUAUGGGAAUCAGAUAUGCAGCCGUCACAGCCUGCUGAUGAAGAUCCUCAGCUUAUUAUACAGAGGUCAGGGUUGAGCUGUUUGCUGAUUCAAAAGAUGCUAAUGACAGUGGAUAAUCCAUUCUGAGUUGUUCUAGGACCAUUCACCAAUGUUUCAAAACACUGAUGGAACUGAAGGCAGUACAUGUACUGGUGUCUGGCCUGUGAUUUCAAGUAUAGACUAUAAUUGAUGUACCUCCUCCUGAUGUAUCUCCUUGAAUACAAUAUAUCUGCCAUGUGAAAGGAACAAGCUGCAAGAUAUACUGUGGAAGUGGGGGCCUAUGUAAAAAAAAAACAUUUUAUUUAAAGAAUAUAAGAAAUCUGACACUAAACUACUGAAAAGGUGCACAGGGGACAUUUUUGUGUGUAUAGACUUUCAUCAAGAUUCUGAGAAAGUUGAUUUAUUAAACAAAAAUAGUCAUAUUGUGUCUUCAAAGCUGAAAAGAUUAAGAUCUUAGGAAAACUUAGGACUCAAGAAAAGUAAUGGGGUUAUGAAACUGUAGUGUUCAACAUUUAAAUUGAUUUUUUUUUUCACUACAUUUUGUGAAGAGGGUUCCAUCACAAGAUGUUACAUAUUGGUAAGAAUGUGAUGUUAUUUAUGAAAAAAAGUAUUUUGCUUUGAAUGUGCAGACUUUAAGUUACAUAAAAAAUAAAAGCUGUAACAAUAAAGCUUGAUUAAAAAAAAAACACUGUUGAAAACUAGCCAACAUGUAAUUGUCACACUUUUUUGGAUGCACAGGGGACACAAUUAGCUAUAUAAUUUAAUAUAACUUUAACCCUUAGGACCUUGCUAAAUUUCUAUAAUGAA